rnacentral:rRNA from 1 species
CACGGGGAGGUAGUGACGAAAAAUAACGAUACGGGACUCAUCCGAGGCCCCGUAAUCGGAAUGAGUACACUUUAAAUCCUUUAACAAGGAUCAAUUGGAGGGAAAGUCUGGUGCCAGCAGCCGCGGUAAUUCCAGCUCCAAUAGCGUAUAUUAAAGUUGUUGCGGUUAAAAAGCUCGUAGUCGGAUUUGUGUCCCGCGCCGCUGGUUCAUCGCUCGCGGUGUUCAACUGGCGUUUCGCGGGACGUCCUGCCGGUGGGUUUAUCAACAUUUUCGUUUCGGCGAUGGUUGGUGGCCCAACUCGUAUCCGUUUUGCGCGGGUGCGAAUCCCAUCGCGGUGCUCUUUAUUGAGUGUCGAGGUGGGCCGGCACGUUUACUUUGAACAAAUUAGAGUGCUUAAAGCAGGCCAAUUUUGCCUGAAUAUUGUGUGCAUGGAAUAAUAGAAUAGGACCUCGGUUCUAUUUUGUUGGUUUUAAGAACCCCGAGGUAAUGAUUAAUAGGAACGGUUGGGGGCAUUCGUAUUGCGACGUUAGAGGUGAAAUUCUUGGAUCGUCGCAAGACGGACAGACGCGAAAGCAUUUGCCAAAAACGUUUUCAUUGAUCAAGAACGAAAGUUAGAGGUUCGAAGGCGAUCAGAUACCGCCCUAGUUCUAACCAUAAACGAUGCCAGCUAGCGAUCCGCCGACGUUCCUCCGAUGACUCGGCGGGCAGCUUCCGGGAAACCAAAGCUUUUGGGUUCCGGGGGAAGUAUGGUUGCAAAGCUGAAACUU